rnacentral:rRNA from 1 species
UACGUAGGGUGCGAGCGUUGUCCGGAAUUAUUGGGCGUAAAGGGCUCGUAGGCGGUGUGUCGCGUCGGUCGUGAAAACUUGGGGCUUAACUCUGAGCUUGCGGUCGAUACGGGCAUCACUGGAGUUCGGCAGGGGAGACUGGAAUUCCUGGUGUAGCGGUGAAAUGCGCAGAUAUCAGGAGGAACACCGAUGGCGAAGGCAGGUCUCUGGGCCACUACUGACGCUGAGAAGCGAAAGCAUGGGGGAGCGAACAGG